rnacentral:rRNA from 1 species
GAUCAUGGCUCAGGAUGAACGCUGGCGGCGUGCCUAAUACAUGCAAGUCGAACGCUUCACUUCGGUGAAGAGUGGCGAACGGGUGAGUAAUACAUAAGUAACCUGGCAUCUACAGGGGGGAUAACUGAUGGAAACGUCAGCUAAGACCGCAUAGGUGUAAAGAUCGCAUGAACUCUAUAUGAAAAGUGCUACGGGACUGGUAGAUGAUGGACUUAUGGCGCAUUAG